UACGGAGGGGGCUAGCGUUGUUCGGAAUUACUGGGCGUAAAGCGCACGUAGGCGGCUUUGUAAGUUAGAGGUGAAAGCCCAGGGCUCAACCCUGGAAUUGCCUUUAAGACUGCAUCGCUUGAAUUGUGGAGAGGUAAGUGGAAUUCCGAGUGUAGAGGUGAAAUUCGUAGAUAUUCGGAAGAACACCAGUGGCGAAGGCGGCUCACUGGUCCGGUACUGACGCUGAGGUGCGAAAGCGUGGGGAGCAAACAGG
rnacentral:rRNA from 1 species